GUCAGCAGGCCGCACACGCGCCGGACCGGGUACCGCUGUGCCCGGCCUGGCCGCGGCCUAGUCCCGGCAGACGGGACUGACGAGGUCACCAAGCCCAGGCCGAGACGGCGCGGGUGUCAGGGACUUGGGAAUCCCCCUCCCCCAGUCCCGAUCCCGCUUUCCUUUGGGGUUUCACCUCAGAGGACCCGACAGCACUCUUGCAGUUUCCUCAUCCUCAAGAUGGACUGCACCUUCUGGCAUCUCAAGUGGUUCUUGUGAAGAUUAAAUGAAUCCAUCAGGCCGGGUGCGGUGGCUCACGCCUGUAAUCCCAGCACUUUGGGAGGCCGAGACGAGCGCAUCACCUGAGGUCAGGAGUUCCAGACCAGCCUGGCCAACAAGCUGCCAGCAGCCUUGAAGCCACCUGGGACUGCACAGUAUGUCUGUGUGUGCCUUGAUCGCAUCACCCCCUGGACCUCCAGUGACCGAGAUCUCCCGCCAGACACCCGGGGCUGAGUCCUCGGAGAAGCCGCCUGCCGGGUGCAUCACCAGGACUCCAUUGGUGGUCAGUCCAUCCAUCAGGCCAUCUGGGGUCCGCCAUUUGGCCGCUCGCUCCUGGGACCACAUGAGGGAUCAGAUCACAUCCCCCAGGGGCCCCCCAGCAGGCCAUGUGCCAGAGGCACUGCCCCCGCUACCUUCAAGUUCAGAGGCGGCCCAGAGAGGACUGGCAUUGAAGCUGCAUGACUUGAGCGUCUCUCUGGGCCUCACUUUGCUCAUCAGUUAGGUGGGGUUGCUAACUGCCAGGACCACCAUUUGGAUUACUGUGGGCUGGUUCAUCACCUCAAGAUGCUGCACCUCCCAAGCCUACCCCUUGCCUCACAGAUGAAGAGUUGGUCCCUUCCUGGGGCUCACUCACUCCAAGGAAGAUGUUGCUAGAGGCAUCGAAGCCAGCGGCAUAGAUGCGGGCAGUAUAGGGUGGCCGGCGGUCACAGAGGAUGCGGCAGGCAUAGCGGGAGAUGGUGCUCUGGGCAGAAGGGCCCUCGGCAGCCCCUCCUCCAGGGGACGUGUCUGUUACCACGAAGUCAAUCAUGUUCUCUGUGGAGCGGCCAAUCUGUGAGGACAGGGAGAGCAAGCAGGGACUGUAUGUACAUAGGGGACUCUCAUGGGCCUUCCCUCCCAGAGUACCAGCAGCUGCUCUGUAUGCAAGGUCACCAAAAAAGGAGGCUGCCAGGCCCUGGAGAAGGGGCAGCACCAACUCCAUAGGCCCUCUAGGCUCCCAGGUGGGGUCUCCAAGUCCAAGAAGCCGUGGCCUGGAGCAGCUUCUCCUUCUCUGUUGCCCCCACAGCACUAGGGAUCGCCCCAUUCAAUAAAUACAAGUUGAUUUGCUGAUAUAAUUAUAAGAGGGUGCUCAAAUGUUAGCAGCAGAUAGUGACUUCUAAGUAACUAUUUGCUAUAUGCCAGCCACCAUGCUAAACAUUUUAUAUGCAAUGCCUAAGUUAAUCUUCCCGUGGGGUGGGUACUAUUAUGGGCCUCAUUUUACAGAUGAGUAAACCAAGGCCCAGAGAACUUAAGUGAUGCUUCCCCAAAGUCACCCAGUGGUAAGUGAUGGAGCCAAAAUCUGAACCCAGGCACUAGGCCUCUCACACCUGAACUCCUGAGCUGUGUGACCUCCCACAGUCUAGGAGUCUUGAAUUUGAUCCUUGAUAUAGCCACUGACUUGCUGUGUGACUCUGCAGUCAACAGCCCACACCGGGACAUCCUGCUUCCUCGUCUGGAGAGAAGCAGCUUUCCCAUGGCCUCCCAACCCGUAGCCUCACCUGAAAUGCUUGCAGAGCCUAGAGGCCUGGUGGCCAGGAGGUGUGUGGAGAGGCCUGAGCAUACCUGGAACAUGUCUGUGUCGCUAUCAUGUGUAUACUCCACUAUGACCGAGUGGCUCCGGGACAGUGUAUACGAGAUGCUGUGCUGACCACGGUUACUCAGUGCCUGGUGGGGAGAAAAAAGUCACUUGCCAGGGUGUGCAGCCAUGAUAAGUGUAUGCCUUGAGCAAGCACCUGGAGCUCAAGGCCCAGCAGCCACUCCCUGGGAAGGGGGCAGCUCCAUCCUUCUCAGAGGGUGGACAGUGCAGCAGAUGUUUCACAUGAUUUAAGCCCUACAGUCACCCUAAGGAUGGGGUUAUCAGGCUGGGUGCGGUGGCUCACGCCUGUAAUCCCAGCAUUUUGGGAGGCUGAGGUGGGCGGAUCACUUGAGGUCAGGAGUUCAAGACUGGCCUGGCCAACAUAGUGAAAUCCCGUCUCUACUAAAAAUACAAAAAAAAAAAAAAAAAAAUUAGCUGGGUGUGGUGGUACACGCCUGUAGUCCCAGCUACUCGGGAGGCUGAGGCAGGAGAAUGGCUUGAACCCGGGAGGCAGAGCUUGCAGUGAGCUGAGAUCGCACCACUGUACUCCAGCCUGGGUGACAGAACGAGAUUCCGUUUCAAAAAUAAAAAGAAUGGGGUUAUUGUUCCAUUUUAGAGUUGAAGAAACUGCAGGUCAGAGAGAAACUGGCCUAAAGGCACACAGCUGGAAAUAUCAGAGGCUGAAUUCUAACCCAAAUCCUCUAAAGUCAAAGGUUUUUCCUUUAUCAUUGCAGUAUGACUGUCACCUCCCACUCUCUGAACCUUGGCUGCCUCUAAAAUGGUGCAGCUCAUUUCCACCCAUUUCCAUUUCCAUUGGAUGGAAAUAAGCAGCACCAUCUUAGAGGCAGCCAAGGUUCAGAGAGGUCCAGUGGUUAAGGCAACAUUUUGCAAACUGUAAAGAACUGCGCACACUGCAAAGGAUUUUUCAUCACCAUUCUCGGAUGGCCCAAUAAGCAGUGAGUGAUGACACAAAGUGGGCUCCCCUGUUAAGGUGUGGGGGCUGUGGGCAGGUAGGACCUGGAAGGCCGAAGACCUGGGCCUUGGGCAGGGAGGGCAGGACCUCAGGUCUAUGGGUCAGUUGCUUGCCUUGGAGACGAGCGGCGUGGAGAUGUGGUGCAUGACGUCUGGCUUCACCCCGUUGGCGUGCGACCGGCGGCUCAGUGCCAGGCGGCUUCGCCGGCGGCCCUUGUCCCCACUUGCCAGACAACCAUUGUAGCUGUAGAUGUCGGGGGUUAAGAAGAAGGGGUUGCAAGAGGAGAGAGAGAAAGAGAGAAAGUGAACCCCUGAUGAGACUUGGAGGAAACUGCCAACUUCUAGGCAGAUCCUACCUUAAUAAACAAGCUCUACAAGCACCUGAAACUAGAAGACCCUACAAUAACAAAUUGGUACCUUGGGGAGUGGGAGGGGGGUGUCAGAGCAGUUUCAAAAGCACUUUCAUUCAGUUAACCAAGUAUUUCCUGGACACUUGAGCCAUGCCUGGAUGGGUGCUGUGCACUGGGGCGGUAGAGGUGAUGCACCACGGGUCAGUUGUGGGCCCUCAGUGGAGGGGUUCCUCAGCUUCUCCAGGAACCUAGGUGCCACCUGCCACACCCAGGCACAAGCCAAGGAUGCCAUAAGCCUAGAGGAAGAAAAGGGAAUUCUCGCCCUAGGAUCAGGUUUCUGGGAGAGGGAACACCUCUACUGGGUUUUGAAGAACUAGAAAGGGUUCACCUGUAGUAAGCUGUCACUUAUCACACCACUACUCAAAACCAAAAUGGAAGGAAAAAAUGACACACAAUGCCAGUACCUCCAUAUGUCCAUACAUGUCAAAUUUCCACCUGCCUUUCCAGCUCUUGUCUGGAGGGCAUGGCUGUGAGAGGCACAGAGGAGGUGAGGCAUAGCUCUCAUCGCUGCCAUGGGCUGCUGCCUCUGUGUUCCUGGCCUUCAUGUUAUCAAUCACCUAAUGGAAUCUGUGCAGUGGCCUGCCAGGCAAGUGGCUUUCUGCCCAUCUUACAAAUGAGAGAAAUCAAGGCUCAGGGAGGUAAUGUGACUUGCCUCUGGCUAGUAGGUGAAAAUGUCCAGAUUUGAGCCCAGUCUCUCUGACUCCAGAAGCCCCUCUAGAUGGAGGCUCACCCUAAGCAAAGGGCCCAAGGCUGGCAGGGUCUGAUGAGAUCAGGGAAUGGUGGCUUUGGUGGUGAAGUAUGUGGGGGAGAUGACACUGGUGGGAGGGCUCUGAACUCCAGGCUGAGGACAUUAUUCAACAACCAGUGGGGUGCCAGGAAGGUCUGGGAACAGGAAGUGACAGGACAAAGAGCUGCCAAAUACAGACAAGGCCACUUGAAUCAGAAUCUUCUAGUGAGUUUGUUAAAAUCCAGAUGAGGCCGGGCGCAGUGGCUCACACCUGUAAUCCCAGCACUUUGGGAGACCGAGGCAGGCAGAUCACUUGAGGUCAGGAGUUCAAGACCAGCCUGGCCAACAUAAUAAAACCCUGUCUCUACUGAAAAUACAAAAACUAGCCAGGCAUGCUGGUGGGUGCCUGUAAUCCCAGCUACUCAGGAGGCUGAGGCAGGAAAAUCACUUGAACCCAGGAGGUGGAGGUUGCAGUGAACUGAUAUCGUGCCACUGUACUCCAGCCUGGGUGACAGAGCAAGACUCUGUCUCAAAAAAAAAAAAACAAAAAAAAAAAACAGAUUCCCUGGUCCCACCCACUGCGACUGUGAUUCUGUAGGCUUGGAGAGGGCCUGUCAAUGUGUAUUUUCAGUGCCCUCCAGCCAGCUCUGAUAUGCAGCCAGUGUGGACUCUGCUCCCCAAGGGGGCUGACAGGAG
rnacentral:lncRNA from 1 species